UACUGGGCUGGUUGUAACAAUAUCAGUAAAGAAAGCAGUAAAACACAAUAGCAAAUGUGCAGGACUACAAGCCUGUAGGACUAUUGAGGGAGAGUCACACUACACCACAAUCCUUCACCAGCACCCAUAUAUGAACCUGCUGAGGUGCUUUGCUAGCUGCAUGAGACUGCUGGGAAUAUUAACCUGUCAGACCAUCGGACCAGAACCACAGGAAGCUCCAGCACAUCGUACACUGUGUUGUAAAUGACAGUAGAUGAGAGGAGACUAGCAGACCAGCACCAGC